rnacentral:rRNA from 1 species
AUUGAACGCUGGCGGCAGGCGUAACACAUGCAAGUCGAGCGAGCGGCGGAUGGGUGAGUAAUGUUUGGGAAACUGCCCGAUGGAGGGGGAUAACUACAGGAAACGGUAGCUAAUCCCGCAUACCACCAGAUGUGCCCAGGUGGGAUUCGCUAGUAGGUGGGGUAACGGACCACCUAGGCGACGAUCCCUAGCUGGUCUGAGAGGAUGACCAGCAACCCUGGACCUGAGACGCGGACAAGACUCAUACGGGAGGCAGCAGUGGGGAAUAGUGGAAAAUGGGCGAAUGCCUGAUGCACCGAUGCCGGGUGGGGGAUAAAGGCCUUGGGGUUGUAAAGCACGUUCGGCGGGGAGGGGUUACCCGCAGAAGAAGCACCGGCUAACACCGGGGCAGCAGCCGCGGUAAUUC